rnacentral:snoRNA from 2 species
AUACCAUGAUGAGGGCAAUUUUUAAUCAUCAUGUUAAACCUCUCGAAUGCCUCAUAAAGCAUCUCACCCGAUUGUUGUUGGAAGCUUCUUAGACUAUGUCU